UACGUAGGGCGCAAGCGUUGUCCGGAAUUAUUGGGCGUAAAGAGCUCGUAGGCGGCUUGUCACGUCGGGUGUGAAAGCCCGGGGCUUAACCCCGGGUCUGCAUUCGAUACGGGCAGGCUAGAGUGUGGUAGGGGAGAUCGAAUUCCUGGUGUAGCGGUGAAAUGCGCAGAUAUCAGGAGGAACACCGGUGGCGAAGGCGGAUCUCUGGGCCGUAACUGACGCUGAGGAGCGAAAGCAUGGGGGAGCGAACAGG
rnacentral:rRNA from 1 species